rnacentral:rRNA from 1 species
AUUACAAUGGAGAGUUUGAUCCUGGCUCAGGAUGAACGCUAGCGGCAGGCUUAACACAUGCAA